rnacentral:lncRNA from 1 species
UAUCAUAUUUACUUUGAUCAUCGGAUUGGUCUUCAAUGAUCUGUCUCCUUAAUACCAAUAUGUGAACUGUGCUUUCCUAAUAUGAGAACAAUAAUUAGGUCACUAAGAAGUUUUAUUGGACAACUAUCCUACAAACAUAAAAUUUCAACCCUCCUCUCUAGUUUGGUUAAUAGGCAUAUAACUAAAGUUAUAAGCUGAUUACUAUUGUAAUUAAAAUAUCUGACAAAACAGACUUAGUAAAAUCAAAAAUCUUUUUCAAAAUUUCUCCUUACGAAACCCAUCUCCUAUAAAUUUAUAAAUUUGGUAAUCUCUGUGAUUGUGUUCGGCAAUGACUUAUAACUUGCUCAAACCAACUUAUAAGUCAUUUUAUACUAUUUAAGUGUUUGACAACAACUUAAUUUUUGACUUAUUUUUUAAUUUAUGUAAUUAUUAAUAAGAAACAAUUUCUAGCUUAUUUAAAAAUGACUUAUAAGUUAUUCCUAAUAAGUUAGUUUGACCAAAUAUAAUAUUUAUUUUGCCUCCUCUUCUAUUUUACUAAAUUACAUUUUUAUCCUUCUAACCUAAUAUCUAAUCUCUUUUCCAACGGGUAAAAUGCAAAUUUUGCCCCUGAACUUUAGGUGUUUUUGAGUAUUGAGCAUGCCACAUGGACGUUAAAUUCAAAUUUCAUCAAAAAAAUAUUAGUCACAAGACCACCCAAGCAAUAAAGGUUUGGUUGUUUAGUUUUCCUAACAAAUAAAUUAUAUACUUGAUCAAUCCAUUCUCCAAUAGAAAAAAAUAAUAAAAUUUUAAUCUUAAGAUCAAUUAAGUUUAUAGAAUUAGAAAAUAAAAUAAAAUAUUUAUAAUAAAAUAUGCUUAAAAAGUACAAGAAAAUAAUGACACUUAAACAAAUUAUAAAGUUGCAAUUAAAAAACUAAUAAAAAUUAUAUACACAAAUUAAAAAAUUACACUUAGAAAAACAAAUAUAAAUAGUAUUACAAAUUAAAUAAUUACACUUAAAAAAACUAAUGAAAUUAUUUAAACAAAUUAAAAAUUACUUACAAAAAACUAAUAAGAUUAUUUAAACAAAUUAACAGGGAAUCAAAAACUGAUAAUGUAAAUUUGAAAAUGCUAUCAACCAUCAAACAACCGCCAAAAUAAGGACAUGCAUCUUUUCAUUAAUUAUAAAUAUCACCUUGGCUAAACUUAUUUACACAAAUUAAAAAAAUUACACUUAGAAAAACAAAUAUAAAUAUUAGUACAAAUUAAAUAAUUACACUUAAAAAAACUAAUAAAUUAUUUAGAAAAUACACUUAAAAAAACUAUUAAAAUAAUUUAAACAAAUUAACGAAAUCAAAAACUGAUAAUGUAAAUCUGAAAAUGCUAUCAACCAUCAAACAGCAGCCAAAAUAAGGACAUGCAUCUUUCAAUUAAUUAUAAAUAUCACCUUGGCUAAUGCUUAGAGCUUGAUUUAUUGGAUUUGAUUUUCUAAUCUUCGCUGCCCAGUUCGUCGGCAUCCAUGGAUGUUGCUGGGCUGAUGCGGAUUUUGGUGUUCCCUUCCAAUUUUGACUCGAUCUGCUCCUUUUUGAUGCUCUAUGGUCAGCUUUGGUGUUUUCUGAUCGGAGGACCUUUGCCGGUUUCUGGAUUUGUUUUCGUAGCAGCUGGGACGCUCAUGUUUCCAGUUGAUGCUUGUGUUUCACACGCGUGCUUGAGGCUGGGGUCUCAGUUGCUGAUGUUCCCACUUUCACAUAACCAGCUGCAGAUGAUGGAUACACGUGGGUCUGCCUCAAACAUGGGUCCCACCUUAUUUCAAAUGCAGAUCAUGUUCAAAUUCAGAAUUUAAUGUUCAACAAACCCAAUUGAAACCCUAAUUUGUAGAACCCAAAUCAAAACCCAAUAUCCAGAAAUUUGAUUAUAUACAUACAUAUAUAGAGAGAUCUAGAGAGAAAGAUGUAUAGAGAUAGAUUUGCUCAUCUUGGUUUUCUUAUCUCAAUCGCUUGCCCAAUCUAGUUCUUCCUAUUUCAAUUGUUUGCUCAAAAUCAGAAUCUAUAAAACUUCUUGCAUUCUUUGUGGAUAAUGAAAGAGCUUUUGAUGGUGAAGGUGCAAGGGUGGUUAGUGCCAUUGGUGAGGAAGAAACCAAAGAAGUAAGAAGAUGAAGGGGCUGUUGUUAUAUUAUUUUUUUAGUUUGUUUAGUUAAUUACUUAAGUUUCUGUUAUGUUUAGUUAGUUUAAUUUAUAUUUUGUUUUUUUAUUGAAAAAAAUAACUAUAUUUUGUAUUUUUGUUGGAGUAAUUGAUUGAUUAAGUAUUAAAGUUAUUAAUUUUUUAAGUGUA